CGCAUUUCACGGCCUCCCGAAGCUCUCCGCGUUUGGACGCGUGGCGCAGUGAGGCAAGAAGAGCAGCGCAGCCUGGCGCCUCUCCUAUUCUCUCAUCCACUCGCAGUCCUCCCUCCCUGCUCUCUCCCUCGGAACCAAAAGCGGUGGCAGCCUAAUCUGGCGAGGGAAGGCGGCAGCAGCGCGACAUCGCCGGAGAGGGAAGGCACGGUGACACGGCCAACGCAGAGGUCUCUUCCCUUUUUCCCCUUGAUCCACUCUCUCCCGUCCUCAUCCCCUCCCAUGCCUCAUCUACUCUCUCCUCUCUCUCUGCACGGUGUGGGCUGAGCCCGCGGCGGUGGCACCUCGGUGGAACAGGAGGGUGAUGGAGGUGGGUGGAACAGCCGGCGGCUAUGGCGACGGCGAGGGUAGUGUCUGAGGUGGGCCAGAAGCUGAGAGCGAUGGCUUCUGCAGACUCCAUGCCCUUUCUUGCCUCCGUGUGUGCUCUGCCGGUCGCCAUCGACCUCAAUGCCGGUGUUCACCCUCUUCUAUGGACGAUGCCCUCAUUAUAUUCGAUGAAAUGGGCACAAGGUAUACAUUUUCUUUCCCUUCCAAUUUUUCUUGCUGAUUUGUAAAGUUUCCAUCUCUACCAAUUAUGCUAGCGUAUUCAGGUUCAGAGUUCGGAGUCUAAAAGAGAGGUUGACAAGUAGUGGAACUGAUACUGCCGCCCUCUUCCUCCACUUGCUCAACUCUGUCUCUCAUGCGAUGCCUCUUGAUUUCUUGACAGAGUCAUCUUCCUAGAAAAUAGUGUAGGGACCAGUGGAGUAUUGCUACCCAUUUGUUCUUACCAUUCGUGUUCCAUCUAUUUUUUAUGCCUGAUUUUUUUUGCAGGCUACUACAGUUGCAUUUUUCUUGAAGUUGACUGUACAGGAUUUGUGGAAACUCAUACCACCUGAGUUCUAUUGCAUCUUUCUUCAAGUUGACUGUACAGGAUUUGUGGGAUGAGACCUAAGUUCUAUCCAUCACAAGCUUCAUUCACGCAAAAGCAGAAGUUGAGUUUUUUUUUCCUAUGCUUGCAACUGAACCUGUUGAUACACUGAUACUCUGACUUUUUUAUCUGUAUAGCUUAAAUGGAUGAAUCAGGACUUUUGUUCGCACACAAAGACCUUUGAUUAAUUGUACCUUCCUUUGAUAGUUGCCUAGGAAAUCAUUUAAUCUCUUAGAUAAGCUCCAGCCGUUAGUGAGAUAUUACACCUUGCAAUUCAGCUGUCGUUGCCAUGAGUGCUGGAAAUUUUUCAGCAAGGUUGCUGUGGAUCCUAGAAUAGAUACAGAUGUAAUAGUGGAUAGCGAUAAGAUGCUAGACAUUUACCUGUUUCUCAUUGAACUUAAAAAAAUUUGAACUACUUUGGCUGACACCUAAAGCAAUCACGACAACUUCACUUUUUCCUCUUCAGACUACUAUUUCUUAUUCUAA